rnacentral:rRNA from 1 species
GACGAACGCUGGCGGCGUGCUUAACACAUGCAAGUCGAACGGAAAGGCCCUGCUUUUGUGGUGUGCUCGAGUGGCGAACGGGUGAGUAACACGUGAGUAACCUGCCCUUGACUUUGGGAUAACUUCAGGAAACUGGGGCUAAUACCGGAUAGGAGCUCCUGCUGCACGGUGGGGGUUGGAAAGUUUCGGCGGUUGGGGAUGGACUCGCGGCUUAUCAGCUUGUUGGUGGGGUAGUGGCUUACCAAGGCUUUGACGGGUAGCCGGCCUGAGAGGGUGACCGGCCACAUUGGGACUGAGGUACGACCCAGACUGCUACGGGAGGCAGCAGUGGGGAAUAUUGCACAAUGGGCGGAAGCCUGAUGCAGCAACGCCGCGUGCGGGAUGACGGCCUUCGGGUUGUAAACCGCUUUCGCCUGUGACGAAGCGUGAGUGACGGUAAUGGGUAAAGAAGCACCGGCUAACUACGUG